rnacentral:rRNA from 1 species
CCAAUAGCGUAUAUUAAAGUUGUUGCAGUUAAAAAGCUCGUAGUUGAACUUCGGGAUCAAUGGAUCGGUCAUGCCAUCGGUAUGUACUGGUCUCAUUGGUUCUCACCUUCUAAGGAACCAUAAUGUCAUUCAUUUGAUGUUUUGGGGAAUUAGGACUGUUACCUUGAAAAAAUUAGAGUGUUUAAAGCAGGCUAACGCUUGAAUACAUUAGCAUGGAAUAAUGAAAUAGGACAUCGCAUUCUAUUUUGUUGGUUUCUAGGAUCGAUGUAAUGAUUAAUAGGGAUAGUUGGGGUCAUUAGUAUUCAAUUGUCAGAGGUGAAAUUCUUGGAUUUAUUGAAGACUAACUACUGCGAAAGCAUUUGCCAAGGAUGUUUUCAUUAAUCAAGAACGAAAGUUAGGGGAUCGAAGACGAUCAGAUACCGUCGUAGUCUUAACCAUAAACUAUGCCGACUAGGGAUCGGAUGAUGUUGAUUUUUUAAUGACUCAUUCGGCACCUUACG